AGCACGAGUCUCCGGCACCGGGGCUGCUGAGCACCCCCUUUUUGGUUCGGCAGAGGGCGAGGCGAUUGCUCUGGCGAUCGCCGACGUGACUGUAACAUCCCAAAAAAAAAAAUUCAAACUCUUUCAUCUGCAUUGCACUCAUGAGCAUCAUGCCACAUUUGCAUUUUUGAAUCAAAAUUUGAAUUACAAAAGGCUUUAAAAAGGUUCUAUUUCGUUUUAAAAACCUAGUAUUUCACCCAUUUGAGCCUUGGAUCUUUAAACCAUAGGGUUUAUUUUAUAAAAGGGGUUUAUUGCAUAAAUAAGCUAUCCAAUAAUUUUUGGGUAUUUUUUUGGAGACUAUUUUAUUUAAUAGUUAUAAAGCCCAAAAGGCAUAUAUAGGGCAAAUGUAUUUUUAUAUAUUUUAUUUGGAAGGGAAAUUAGUCCCAAAAGUUGAAUCAUAUUAUAAUAUGAUUUCACAAAUUUCUGGAAUUUAUUGGAUCAAUCUGGAGCUCAAAAUCAAAAGAUAUCCAAGAAAUAAGAAAAGGAAAAAAAAGAAAAGGCCAAAAAAAAAAAAGGAAAACCGGACCGGCCCGGCCAAAUGGACCGAACCGGCCCCGUCCCGACCGGCCC
rnacentral:lncRNA from 1 species